CCCCUCGUAGUUCAAUGGAUAGAACGCGAGAUUGCGGAUCUUGCAAUAGAGGUUCGAUUCCUCUCGAGGGGA
rfam:Parcubacteria (Yanofskybacteria) bacterium GW2011_GWA2_41_22 TT54_C0011, whole genome shotgun sequence.